AUUCAAGGACAAUUUUAAAUCACCUUACUCUAUUUAAUUUUACUUCAUUCAAGGACUGUUGUAAAUCUUUUAAACAUCUCACCUGCUCGUGAGUCUAUUUUAAUUUA